UGCUGUUUUACAGGAUGACCUGACACCACUGUUACUUGCCAGAAGGAACAACAGGCAGCUAAUGGCAGACUUUUUAAAGGAAAAACAGGCACAUAUGCCUACAGUUGAGAAGACGAAAAGCGAACACAAAGACGAAAGGAGACGUGAAAGACCUUUUCAAACUACCAGCCUGGCGAAGACUUCUGAUUGUGAAACAUCAGCUGUCUACUCAGCAGAAGAAAAAGAUGCACAGUCUCUUGAUACAGAGGAAGGGGUGACACAGCCAGAAAUUCAAAAAGAAGAGACUGGUAUGGAGACAGAUGCAGGUGACGAAGGUGCUCCAGUGGAGCCAACAGAUGAGAAGAAAUGGACCUCCGUGGAUGGAACACACACACCUGACAUGGCUGUGAAAUUACAAGAUCUAUGGAGUUUCAUUUUUUUCAUAUCUGUGCUUAUGAGCUGGUCUGGGCAAGGGAAGGGUACAGCUGAGUGCUACAUGGAUCGCAUGAUUUGGAUACAGGAGUUCCUGAGUUGAAUCCCUAGUAUCUCCAUUAAAAACAAAAAUUGAAAAGCUAAUGUAAUAUAUCUGAAGUCUGUAGCUCCAGAUACCAUAUCCAUUAGUGUUCCUUUUCCAUUUCUGAACUACUGUAAUACAUAGCCAGGAAAUGAACGUGGUUUUCAUAAAGAAAGUGCUUCUUCCCUGUGAAAUUCUUUUGGGCCACGUCAACUUACAGAAAAAUUCUUCAGAGGAGUUAGACUGCACGUGUGUGUGUGUGUAGAGUUCAAAGCGGUCAGUGUUGUCAUUAAUAUCUGUGUGACUGCACCCUCUAGGUGAAGCGUCACCUUUCCCCUCGGGACCGGAGGAAGACGCACACAGCCCUGGUGAGGAGUAAGUUUCAACACAGCAGGAAAAUGCAGUGGAAUAUGUUACUCAUUCCCUUGAAGAUGCUGCUGAGGAAUCAAUUGUGCAGGAGGAAAUCGCAUUUUAUGAAGGAAUUUUUAUGUUUAUAUUUUUUUUCUCUAGCGUCGUUUUGAUUUUUAUUGUAUUAUAUAAACCUACCAUUGAUGAAUUGUGGCGGGUGUUAGUGUUAUAUCCUGCAUUGUAUCCAUUUCUUAAUUGAUUCCCCCUCGAUUCAUUAAACCCAUCUUUAUGGCUCAAAAA